UGAUCCUCACCAUGCUGCCAGGUGUAAUUUGGUUUUGUGAGCGACCAGUUCAAACAUGGUGUGCACCUGCUGCUUUGGCUGCUGUUGCGAAUGCUUGGUGUCUGGAAAGUGUGGAAGUGGAUUACGUUGUAGCAUUAGGGAGCAGGACCGGCCCUGACCUGGGGCAUAGAACAGUACAGGAACAGGCCCUUCAGCCCACCAUGUCUGUGCCGACCAUGAAGAACGUUAGCUGAGUUUUUAUAAACGUCAUCGUCCCCAUUGCAGAGACAGAUGUCAAACUUGUACUUGGGGAAUUGCGCGUCGUUAUCAACAAGCAUGAAGUGGUGUACCCUGACGCCUUCCUCAUCAUCGCUGGGGACUUCAACCAGGCCAGCUUGAACUACCUUCAACACCAGAGGACCAAGCACACUCGAUCACUGCUUUGCCACCAUCAGGCAUGCCAACCACUCCAUCCCUCACCUGCACUGCGGUAAAUCCAACCACCUGGCUGUGUUUCUUCCUGCAUACAGGCAGAGACUGAGGGGCGCGGCACCGGAGCUGAGGGUAAUGAAGAGCCGGUCAAGAGAGGCAGAGGAGCGAAUACAAGACUGCUUCGAACCAGUGGACUGGGUCAUGUUCAAUGAUUCGUCAGCAGACCUGAAUGAACAUGCCAGUGUUCACUGAAUUCAUAAAAAUAUGUGUGGAGGAGUGUGCACCAACAAAAAAAGCUUGUGCCCCUCC